rnacentral:tRNA from 2 species
GGGGCCGUAGCUCAGCUGGGAGAGCACC